rnacentral:rRNA from 1 species
AUUGAACGCUGGCGGCAUGCCUUACACAUGCAAGUCGAACGGUAACAGGUCUUCGGAUGCUGACGAGUGGCGAACGGGUGAGUAAUACAUCGGAACGUGCCCGAUCGUGGGGGUUAACGAGGCGAAAGCUUUGCUAAUACCGCAUACGACCUACGGAUGAAAGCGGGGGAUCUUCGGACCUCGCGCGGACGGAGCGGCCGAUGGCAGAUUAGGUAGUUGGUGGGAUAAAAGCUUACCAAGCCGACGAUCUGUAGCUGGUCUGAGAGGAUGAUCAGCCACACUGGAACUGAGACACGGCCCAGACUCCUACGGGAGGCAGCAGUGGGGAAUUUUGGACAAAGGGCGAAAGCCUGAUCCAGCCAUGCCGCGUGCAGGAUGAAGGCCUUCGGGUUGUAAACUGCUUUUGUACGGAACGAAAAGCCUCUUUCUAAUAAAGAGGGGUCAUGACGGUACCGUAAGAAUAAGCACCGGCUAACUACGUG